rnacentral:rRNA from 1 species
UACGAAGGGGGCUAGCGUUGUUCGGAUUUACUGGGCGUAAAGCGCACGUAGGCGGAUCUUUAAGUCAGAGGUGAAAUCCCAAGGCUCAACCUUGGAACUGCCUUUGAUACUGGGGAUCUUGAGUCCGGGAGAGGUGAGUGGAACUGCGAGUGUAGAGGUGAAAUUCGUAGAUAUUCGCAAGAACACCAGUGGCGAAGGCGGCUCACUGGCCCGGUACUGACGCUGAUGCGCGAAAGCCAGGGGAGCAAACGGG